rnacentral:rRNA from 1 species
UACGAACUGUGCGAACGUUAUUCGGAAUCACUGGGCUUACAGGGUGCGUAGGCGGCUAUUCAGGUCAGGUGUGAAAGCCCCCGGCUCAACCGGGGAACUGCGCUUGAAACCGAGUGGCUCGAGUCAGCUAGAGGUACACGGAACUUCCAGUGGAGCGGUGAAAUGUGUUGAUAUCGGAAGGAACAUCAGUGGCGAAAGCGACUUCCUGGACCAGUACCGACGUUCAGGCACGAAAGCGUGGGGAGCAAACAGG